AGGUUAGUGGAUUCGAGUUGAGGGUGGUAAGGAGGUUAGUGGGUGUUAGUUUGGUGGUGGUCGAAGACGGGGCCGCCAGGUUUAUGGCGAGGGGGGUGUUUGUUUUGGGGGCUGGGGUAGGCAAUUAAGCUUACAUGGUGGGGGGUUGGCUUGAUCUUGGCCGUUCGAUAAAAUGAGAUUGACGGCCUGGAUCUCUUAGUUAAGGGAAUCGAUGUCGUUUGGUUAAGUGAUCAGAUCGAGUUGGUCUCAAAUGCGAAUGUGUCGGGUUAUGGUAGAGGAUUGAGGCUGUUGGAUUGAAUGAAAGGACAGUUCCGAUUAAAUUCACUAAACGACGUCGCUUGAAUUAAGUUGGGGGCUGAAUUGGACCGUUAGAUUUGCUUGAUCAAAGGUCCAGAUCUGAUAGACCUAUACGGCGUCGUUUGGAAAGGUCUGAGACCAGGCAAUUUGGGCUGGGUCAUUUGAUCAUUUGGGCCUGAUUUUGGGGUCUAAAAUGAUGGCCCAGGUCCGAUUUUUGUUCACAAUUUCCAUUUCUUCUUCUUUUAAUUAUUAAUUAAUCAAAAUUCUAAUAACAAAUUGUAAAAAUCCAAAACUCUUAUAUUAAACUCUUAACAAUAAUUUACACACAAGUUAACAUAUUUAGUUAAAUAAAAUCACACAAUGCCACACUUUAUGUGACCACAAUAGCAUAAAUAUAUAUUUUUGUAAUUUUCUAUUUUUGAAAUCAAAUAUUGUGCAAUUAAUUCCUAAUUUUUUACAAAAUAAAAUCCCAAAUGCAUGUGUAACAUGUUUUUUUGGUAUUUUUAACAAAUUGUAAAAAUCCAGAACUCUUAUAUUAAACUCUUAACAAUAAUUUACACACAAGUUAACAUAUUUAGUUAAAUAAAAUCACACAAUGCCACACUUUAUGUGACCACAAUAGCAUAAAUAUAUAUUUUUGUAAUUUUCUAUUUUUGAAAUCAAAUAUUGUGCAAUUAAUUCCUAAUUUUUUACAAAAUAAAAUCCCAAAUGCAUGUGUAACAUGUUUUUUUGGUAUUUUAAUUAAUCAAAAUAAAAUAAACAUUCACAAGUAAAACAUAAAUAAUUAUCCUAAUGUGCCACGCAAAUUCUAAAAUUGUAGACCAAAGAAAUUUAUUUUAUUUUUUCGAUUUCUUUUGGAGUAAUUGUCGUGAAAGCAAAAAUCACGUGCUUACAGCUGCCUCUCUUUGUCCAAAAAUACGAAGAGUUUUCGUGCAGAAAUAAAGUGAACAGAUACGAGCUAUUUUUUCUUGUUAGAAUACUCCGUGUGAAGAAUUUUUGAAAAAAUUUAACCGAACCUUUGCUUCGAUGGUUUCCUACAUAUCCCUGGCUAAUAGGGAAUCAGGUUAAUAUAGUUCGAGAAAUGUUGUAGUUGGGACUACCAUGUGACUGCGAUUUGGCUGUUACUGCUGCUGCAUGCUGUUACUGCCGCUUACCGAUCUCCUUAUUACAUCGUGCUAAAAGAAAAUAAGAAGUUAGGCUAGACUACGAAUCAUAAGAUCUUAUCUAUCUUUCACUUGUUCCUGUUGCCUUGCUUUUAUGUCGGCUUGUGUUUCCUCCGGUGCUUCUUUGCUACGAAAACUGCUGGGGAUGACACUGGCCUUUUGCUUUUUCUGAACAUAAGCUCCAUCAUUGCGUUUUGUCUGUUGGGGAUUUUUGUUGUAACCCUCUGCAUCAUUGACUUCUGAUUUGAUUUUGAAUUGCAUUCCUCUGUUCUGCAAGCAGGCUCCUAACUUUAUCAGCAAAAUAAAGAUAAAUCAACCUCCAUUCUCCAGGUGGGUUCCUGACGUCUCCAAUUUAAAUGUAGCGAUCCUCCGUUCUACAGGCGGACUCCUGACUUCAACCACUUAAAAAUAUAAUAACCUCCGUUCUAUAGGCGGGAUCCUGAUUUCUUCAACUUUGAAUACAACAACCUCCAUUUUACAGGAGGGCUCCUGACUUCUUCAACCUUGAAAUAUAACGACCUCUGUUCUACAGGUGGGCUCCUAACUUCUUCAACUUUAAAUAUAACAACCUCAAUUUUACAGGCGGGCUCCUGACUCCUUCAAUUUAAAAUAGACAGAAUAGCCUAAGUGGCACUUAUACUUGUGUCACUUUGUCAUCCCGGUCCCCAAACUUAGCAUUUUGCCAAUUGGACACUUAUACUCCCCCAAAACUUAUAUUUUAAACCCCUCUGACCAUUGACCGAUCAAAUGUAGGAACAUCAUGGCUGAGCUGGACAAUGUGAGUGUAAUUUACGCGGAUAAUGAGCGUGAUUAUGAGCUUUUAAACCAAAAUUAAUUAAAAUAAAAAGAAAAAAUCGUUAAAAUAAGAAGAAAAAAAAUAAGUAAAAAAAGAAAAAAACAUUCUGUUCCUCCAUUUUCGUUCUCCUCCUCCUGUUUCUUCUUCUUCUUCUUUCUUCUUCCCCACUCCCACCCCCAAUACACCCCCUCAUUUUUGGUUCCCUUUUAAUUAGCAAAAUUCCAUUACAACAAAUUUUGUUGAGCUAGAUGUGACUGGAGAAUGAAAACAGGGACUAGCUUGAACCGCGAAUCUCCCCAAAACUCGAACGAGCAGAUCCCAAGCAGCUCUCAAACGUCCUUACACAAGGAACUAAUAGAAACAACCAUCGAAACUUAAAUUCAAACAAAAGUUUCAGUACAUGUUUUCCUCUUUUUCUGUUAACUUUGUAUCACUGUUUAUUAUGUUUUCAUUAAUUUUGGCAUUUCCUAGGGAGAAGAAAUUUGUGAAUUUUAGGGAAAAGAGAUGAGGUUAAGGCAUUGCUUUUCUUUUUCUUUUUCUUUAAGAAAAUAGUAUAUAAUAAGUAUUUUUAGUAUAUAAAAUAUAAAAAAUAACGUGGAAUAUGAUGUGUUAUCCAUGUCAAGCAAGCAAGUGAGAUACACACACGGUCAGAGGGGUUUAAAAUAUAGGUUUUGGGCAAAGGCAUUGAUUUUCUUUAAGAAAAUAGUAUAUAAUAAGUGUUUUUAGUAUAUAAAAUAUAAAAAAUAACGUGGAAUAUGAUGUGUCAUCCACGUCAAGCAAGUGAGAUACACACACGGUCAGAGGGGUUUAAAAUAUAGGUUUUGGGCGAGUAUAAGUAUCCAAUUGGCAAAAUGCUAAGUUUGGGGACCGACAUGACAAAGUGACACAAGUAUAGGUUCCAUUUAAGCCAUUCUGUCUUUAAAAUAUAACAACCUCCGUUUUACAGGCGGGCUCCUGACUCCUUCAAUUAAAAAUAUAACAACCUCCGUUCUACAUGUGGGCUCCUGACUUCCUCAACUUUAAAAUAUAACAACCUCCAUUCUACAGGCGGGUUCCUGACUUCAACUACUUAUAACAACCUCCAUUUUACAGGCGGGUUCCUGACUUCUUCAACUUUAAAUAUAACAACCUUUUUACAGGUGGGCUCCUGACUCCUUCAAUUUAUAACAACCUUCGUUUUACAGGCGAGCUCCUGACUCCUUCAACAAAAAAAAUAACAGCAACCUCUGUUCUAACAGGCGGACUCCUGACUUCUUCAAUUUAAAAUAUAGAAAUCCCCUGUUCUACAAGCGGGCUCCUGACUUCAACAACUUAAAAAUAACAACAACCUCCAUUCUAACAGGCGUGCUCCUGACUUCAACAACUUAAAAAUAACAACAACCUCCGUUCUAACAGGCGGGCUCCUGACUUCUUCGAAAUAACAUCAAUUUUAAAAGUGAUAUCUCCGUUCUACAGGUGGGUUCCCGACUUCUAACAACUUAAAGUUUUAACAAUCUCCAUUCUACAGGUGGGCUCCUAACAUCAACUUAAAUAUAACAACUUCCAUUCAACAGGCGGGUUCCUGACUUCUUCAACUUUAAAUAUAACAACCUCCAUUUUACAGGCAGGCUCCUAACUCCUUCAAUUUAUAACAACCUUCGUUUUACAGGCGAGAUCCUGAAUACUUCAACUAAAAAAAUAACAACAACCUCCGUUCUAACAGUCGGGCUCAUGACUUCUUCAAUUUAAAAUAUAGCAAUCCCCUGUUCUACAGGCGAGCUCCUGACUUCAACAACUUAAAAUAACAACAACCUCCAUUCUAACAGGCGGGCUCCUGACUUCUUCGAAAUAACGUCAAUUUUAAAAGUGACACCUCCGUUCUACGGGCGGGUUCCCGACUUCAAAUAACUUAAAGUUUUAAUAACUUCCAUUCUACAGGCGGGCUCCUGACUUCAACUUAAAUAUAACAACCUCCAUUCUAUAGGCGGGCUCCUAGCUUCUUCAACAAAUUAAGAUUUAACAACCUCCAUUAUUCAGGCGGUCUCCUGACUUCUUUAGCAAAUUAAAAUAACAUCCUCCGUUCUCCAGGCGGGCUCCUGACUUCUCCUUUUGAAACUUGUUUAUGGGCACAGUUCUUUCCUUACCUCCUCACACCUUUCUUUCUUCAAUCUUCCCUUAAAAUUGCUUUCCUUUACAACUUGCAUUGAUUUCCUCGUUCUUCCGAGAAAUUUUCGACUGCGGCAGAAAAUUUUCUGCCCCUGUUCUGGCGCUCUUUCUUUCUGCCACCAUCAUCAUUUUAUUUUCCUGUUUUAAAUCAUAGAAAAAUUUUGUUAGUUUAAAAAUAAGGUGAGCGGUCAUGUCGCUCCUGCUGGGAAUGAUUUUUCCCUUCCCUUGUCCUAUUUUGCGUUCCCACUACUUUUUGGGGAUGGUGUUAUUUGCUGGGGAUGACAUUUUUGUAGGGGAUGGUUUUUCCAUUUAUCCCUUCCUCGUUCCGUAUUUCAAAAUUUGCUGGGGGUUAUUUUGCUGAAGAUGAAUCUUCCUUUCUUCCUUCCCCAUUCUGUGUGGUCCGCCUACCUCUAACUUGGUCGAUAAUCAGUCGGAGUUCUGCUGGGGAUACUCUUGGAACUUGGCCCACAAUUUCCUGAACAUUCCAUUUUUCCAGUUCUUCUCCACAAUUUCCUUGACCUUUUAACCCAAUAUAUUAUGCACCCUUGCAACAAGCGUCCUUUUGCCUCACUGCCUUGUCUUUGGCCCGUCCUCCUCACAUUUUGCUUUGUACCAUUUUGGUAACGGGUAAUAAGCUCAGAAAGAUUUUUCUCAAAAUAAAUUUCUGGAAAAAGACUUUAAGCAAAGAAAAGAAAAGAUGGAAAAAGAGAAAAAUUUCUAAACGAAUGCUGGGAAAAAGAGAAUGGAACUUAUCUAGGUGGUAUAACCGAUCCGAGCGAUCAAGUCGUGUAUUUCAGAUUAAUCAAGGCAGUCUAUUUGUAUCAAUCAUCUUUCCGAUGUCUUCACUUUUUGGGGAUAAACAGGUGCCCAACUCUUCGCAAAAUGCGGAUCCUUUCCGUCAAUCUCAUCUUGUCGCCUCAUAAUGCCAUUCGAGGGGUUUUCACUAAUAAGACUCUCUCAUUUCUCUCAGCUUACGUCGCCUCAUGGUGCCUGUGAAGGUUCUCACCGAUAAGACUAUCUCAUUUUACCUUUUCAGAUGGGGAUUGGAGUGUUGCUGAUAAGAUUUUCUCUGCUGGGAAUUCUUAUGGUUAUCAAUACUUUCAGCUCACGAUCCUCAUUCAAUCGGGGACCAGUGUGUUAUUCUCGGUUCACAUUUGCCGGCCUUGGCACCUCUCGAAUACUCAUUGGGAGGUAUUUUUUGGUCAUCAAUAUGGGGUUUAAAAGAAAAGGAGAUAGGAUUCAAAAUAACUUGGCGGGUAGAACAUUACAACUCUUGGAAUCAAACCCUUUUUCCCAAAAUUUAAAAACGUAACUUUUGCCCCAGUUUUUUUCCUGGGGGAUUUGUGACUUUUGUUAAAUCAUGACCGAGCCGUGAGGCGCCUACGUAUCCUCUUUGAGGAAUCAGGUCGAACGUAGUUCAAAUUUCCUUUGUUUUUCUUGUGACUUUUCUUUUUGUUUUUUGGUGUUAUUUUCCUUCUUUUCUUUUUCAUUUUUCGUUUUCAUUAAUGAUUCCAAGAAAUGGGUACGAAAGAAUAAGUAAGGCUCAAAGAGGUAAAGCAAAGGUAAAAGUGUUUGUAUAGAAGAAAGAAUUGCCUCCACCAUCUCAUUAUCCGAUAAACACCAAGUACAAAUAAUCAAACAAACCAUAGUUAUAAUCAAAGAAAUUACACGUAAUAUCUCUUGACUGCAUCAGAAAUGAUAGCCAUGUCGAUGCAUCUUCCUUCGACGUCUAUUAGACAUAAAGCACCAUUGGAUAACGCUCUUGUCACAAUAUACGACCCUUGACAAUUUGGAGAGAACUUGCCUUUUACCUCGAUCUGAUGCGGUAGGAUCCGUUUUAUACUUGUUUCCCUACUUCAAAUUUCCUGGGGCACACCUUCUUGUUGUAUCCUCUUGCCAUUCUUUUCUGAUACAAUUGGCCAUGCCGUACUGCUGUUAGUCUUUUUUUGUCAAUUUAACUUAGCUGCUCCAGUCAGGCUUUGACCCAUUCAUCAUCAUCAAUUCCAGCCUCAGCGACAAUUCGAAGGGAUGUAAUUUCAACUUUUUCUGGUAUUACUACUUCAGUUCCGUAUACCAACAAGUAAAGAGUUGCACCUACUGAAGUGUGGACAGUAGUGCGAUAACCCAACAAUAAAAAUGGCAACUUCUCAUACCAUUGCCUGGACCCUUCUACCAUCUUCCUCAAUAUCUUCUUUAUGUUCUUGUUAGCUACCUAAACUGCACCAUUCGCCUUGGGACGAUACGAGGUGGAAUUACGGUGUGUAAUCUUGAACUGUUGACAUACUUCUUUCAUCAAAUCACUGUUAAGAUUGGCACCAUUAUCUGUGAUGAUCAUUUUGGGGAUCCCAAAUCUACAGAUGAUAUGGGAAUGCACGAAAUAUACCACUCCCUUCUUGGUUACCGACUUGAAAGUCUUGGCCUCAAGCUAUUUAGUGAAAUAGUCGAUGGUUACCAGAAUGAACCUAUGACCGUUGGAAGCUUCCGGCUCAAUAGGUCCAAUGACAUCCAUGUCCCAUGCAACAAAUGGCCAUGGCGCUAACAUUGUAUGCAAUUCUGUUGGUGGAGAAUGAAUCAGAUCCCCAUGCACCUGACACCGAUGGCACUUCCGUACGAAACUGAUACAAUCAUGCUCCAUGGUGAGCCAAUAAUAUCCUGCUCGCAAAAUCUUCUUUUCUAAUACAUAUCCGCUCAUGUAAGACCCACAAACUCCAGCAUGUACCUCUGUCAUUACUGUCGUGGCUUGACUAGCAUCCACACAUCUCAAUAAUCCCAAAUAUGGGGUUCUUUUGUACAACACUCCUCCACUAAGGAAAAGUCCAUUUGCCAAUCGUUGAAUGGCUCUCUUUUGAUCUCCAGUCACUUGCUCUGGGUAUGUCCCCAUGCUGAGGUAUUCUUUGACGUCAUAAAACCAUGGCUCUCCAUCCAUUUCUUCCUCUAUCAUGUUGCAAUAACCAUGUUAUCCCGAACCUGAAUAUGUAAUGAGUCAACAUGAAUCUUUUCUGGAUGGUGCAACAUCGAUGCUAAUGUUGCCAAAGCAUCGGAAACCUCAUUGUGUGCCCUUGGAAUGUGUUUGAACUCCAUUGAUCGAAAUUGCUUACUCAGAUCGUGCAAACAUUGUCGAUAUGGUAUAAGCUAUAAAUCCCGUGUUUCCCAUUCACCUUCAAUUUGAUGUACCAGAAGGUCCAAGUCUCCCAAGACCAAGACGUCCUCGACAUCCAUGUCUGCAGCUAAUCGUAGACCUAGAAUGCAUGCCUCGUACUCAGCCAUGUUGUUGGUACAGUAGAAACGUAGCUGAGCUGUAACAGGAUAGUGAUGUCUUGUUUUAGAGAUAAGCACCGCUCCUAUUCCAACCCCUUUCACAUUCGCAUCCCCAUCGAAGAAAAUCUUCCACCCCAAAUCCUCAGUCAGUUCUAACUCCUCUAUAUGCAUCACUUCUUCAUCUGGAAAAUACGUCCUCAAAGGCUCGUAUUUUUCAUCAACAGGAUUCUCAGCCAAGUGAUCAUCCAGUGCUUGGGCUUUCAUGGUCGUCCUCAUCACAUAGACGAUGUCGAACUCUAUGAGUAAUAUCUGCCUUUUUUCCAAUCUCCGUGUGGGCAUAGGUUUUUGGAUAAUAUACUUCAAUGGGUCUAGGCGGGAAAUGAGGUAAGUAGUAUAUGACAACAGAUAACUCAUAAAUUUUUGUGCCACCCAAGUUAGGGUGCAACAUGUCUUCUCAAGUUGAGUGUACUUAACCUCAUAGACUAUAAACUUCUUGCUGAGAUCAGGAUUCUUAGCCAAGUGAUCGGCCAAUGCUUGGGCUUUCAUGGCCGUUCUCGUCACAAAGAUGAUGUCCAACUCUGUGAGUAAUAUCUGCCACUUCGCCAACCUCCCUGUGGGCAUAGGCUUCUGGAAAACAUACUUCAGUGGAUCUAGGCGUGAAAUGAGGUAAGUAGUAUAUGACGACAGAUAGUGUUUAAACUUCUCUGCCACCCAGGUUAAGGCGCAACAUGUCUUCUCAAGUUGACUGUACUUAACCUCAUAGUCUGUAGACUUCUUGCUAAGAUAGUAGAUGGCUUGCUCUUUUCUUCCUGUCACAUCAUGUUGCCCCAGUACGCAACCAAAUGAAUUCUCCAGUACUGUUACAUAGAGAAUCAACGAUUUUCCUGGUUCAGGUGGGACUAACACAGGUGGAUUUGAUAGAAUACCCCUUGAUUUGGUCGAAGGCUUCCUGGCAUUCUGUCGUCCAUUCUAUCGUAGCAUCCUUCUUAAGUAGCUAGAAAAUGGGUUCACAAGUCGCUGUGAGCUGAGCGAUGAACCUUCUGAUAUAGUUCAGCCUCCCCAAUAGACUCAUCACCUCCGUUUUGUUCUUUGGCGGUGGAAAUUCCUGGAUGGAUUUGAUCUUUUAUGGAUCCAACUCAAUGCCUCGUCGACUGAUGAUGAAUCCUAGCAACCUUCUUGAUGGAACCCCAAAUGCACAUUUGACCGAUUUGAGCUUAAUAUCAUACCUUCGAAGUCUUUGGAAAAACUUCCUUAAGUCUGCUACGUGAUCUUCCUGACGCUUGGAUUUGAUGAGCACAUCAUCUACAUACACCUCAAUAUUUUUGUGCAUCAUGUCAUGAAACACAGUAGUCAUUGCUCUCAUGUAAGUUGCUCCAGUGUUCUUCAAGCCAAACGGCAUUACCCGAUAACAAUAAUUUCCCUACAACUUAAUGAAAGCCUUUUCUACGUCUUCUUCAUCAUAAGGAUAUGAUGAUACCCGGCAUAACAAUCUACAAAGGAUUCGAUCUCAUGCCCAUCGCAAUUGUCGAUCAAGAUAUGGAUGUUGGGUAGUGGAAAGUUAUCUUUUGGGAUCGCUCUGUUCAGAUUGCGGUACUCGACGCAUACCCUGAUCUUCCCAUCUUUAUUCGGUACGGGUACCACAUUGUCCAACCAAUCAGGAUAUCGAGUGACCCGAAUAACCUUUUCUUGCAACUGCUUGGUCACUUCCUCUUUAAUCUUCACACUCAUAUCUGUCUUGAGCUUUCUCAAUUUCUACUUUACGGGAGGGCAUGCCGGGUCAGUGUUGCAAUUUGUGAACCACUAGAUCGGUGCUUAAACCCGGCAUGUCAUCAUACGACCAUGUGAAAACAUCUUUGAAUUCAACAAGUGUUUUGAUUAGUUCUUCCCUGAUGUCUGGCUCAAUGUGGAUGCUUAUUUUGGUUUCCCUAACAUCGUUGGUAUCCCCUAAAUUGAUAGCUUCAGUGUCGUUCAAAUUGGGCUUAGGUUUCUCUUCGAACUUGCUUAAUUCUAUAUUUAUCUCCUCAAAGGUCUCAUCUUCAUAGUAUUCUGAUUCAUCAUCAUAAUCGACCUCUUUUGUAAUUAAUUCAAAUUCCGUUCGAUUAUUUAGACUGGGUUGAAUAUCCGUUGUGCAUGCCAUGUCAUUAGAACCAGUAUAAAGAGAAUUGUUCAGAAAGAAAAAAGAAGAAACAUAAUUAAAACAAAAUAAGAAGAGAAAACUUUCACUUUUAUUAAAAUGCGGGAAAACAGAGUUUCACACUUUUACUAAAUACAAAUAAAACCAAAAUUGGAUUACAACUCUGGAAUAAUCCAGGAAACAAAAAAGAAAAUCCAGAGCCUACUACCAAAACUCCCUCCGAGUAGGAAGAGGAGUAGCUGUCCAAUUGUUGAUAUUGGCCCUGGGCCCCACAUAUUGUAUGUCUGCUCUACUGGAACAUUCUCGAGCCUUGACAUGUUGACAUCAGCAAACAACCUUUCCAAACCCUGAUCCAGAUCUCCAUCUGAUCCAAUCAACGGUCCGGGAACCUUUGGGACUGACAACCUUUUGACACUUGCUCUAACAAAAGAUCGGGAGAGACGCGGAACUGGUUUGGGAAGAACCCAAACUUUCUUCUUCAUUUUCCGAGCUCGCUUCACAUCCAUUGCCUUAGGCUUGAAUCCCAACCCGAAGGUCUUUUUGGGCAAAGAGACAGGUUGAACAAUACCCUGAAGCUCAGCCCCCAGACCUUUUCCUAGUACAAACCCGAUCUUUAGCAUUUCCGAGGCUAUCAUGAAGGUCGCAGCUGUGAUUCUGGGAAGUGUAAGGUCCUCCCCUUCAGAAAUCUUGUCCACUGAAACCUUGUCGAAAACCUGGUACACCCAUGGCCCUUUGUCAUCAUCGAUUUCUAUGAAUGGCACAACGUCAUCACCCAUAAUGCUUGUAGCGUCAUCCCCGUGCAUCACUAUCUCCUGCGUGUCCCACUCAAACUUCACCAUUUGGUGCAAUAUAGAAGGUACUGCUUUGGCGGCAUGGAUCCAGGGUCUCCCUAAUAGAAGAUUGUAUGAUACCGCCACGUCUACCACUUGGAAUUCCAUGGUAAAUUCUACUGGACCAAUGGUUAAUUCCAGUAUGAUAUCACCCACUGUGUUAGUAGGACCUCCAUCAAAACCUCGAAUGCAGACGUUGUUCCUGUGAAUCCGGUCAUGAUGAAUUUUCAGCUUGUUCAGAGUAGUCAAAGUACAGAUGUUGGCGGUUGACCCAUUAUCAACCAAUACUCGGGUGACCACCGAGUCUUCACAUUUCACGGUCAAGUAUAGGGCUUUAUUAUGUUAUGUACCUUCUUUUGGCAAUUCAUCAUCAGAAAAUGUCACUCAGUUUACCUUAAAGAUCUUGUGCACUAUCUUCUCCAAGUGAUUUACAGAGAUUUUAUCCAGAACAUGGGCCUUGUUCAGGAUUUUCAUUAGGGCCUGGCAAUGAUCGCUGGAAUGAAUCAACAAGGAUAACAAUGAAAUCUGUGCUGUGGUCUUUCUUAAUUGCUCCACAAUGGAGUAAUCUUGUGCCUUCAUUUUCUUCAAAAACUCCUCAUCCUCUUCCUCCGUCACUGCCUUUGUUACUACUGCUGGAUUGGACCUCCUCAACUCUACGGGAGUGAAACACCGUCGCGAUCGAGUCAGUCCCUGCACCUCGCAACUAUCCUCCUUCACUCGCUUAACCUUGUACAUUACCACUGCCUUUUCAUACUUCCAAGGCACGACCUUGCUACCAAUCACCGGCAAUUGGACUAGCGGCUUUAUGAUGACCGGUUCCCUACAGACCCCUUCACAACAACCACAGGGGUGGACGACGCUCCUGAUACCAGUAAUUUGGCUGGCACUGGCUUUUUCGUAGUGGCGGAUGGACUCUUACCUAAUAUCACCACCGGCUUGACAUCUUCCCUCUUAACGUGUACCUCAGCUUCCCCACUAGUCGAUUUUUCUUUUGAAGUGGCACAGAUCAUCAUCACUGUCUGUGAUGGCUUCUUUGGCUCUCCCCCUUUGUGUACAAGUUCGAUCAUGAGGGCUUCGUGGUAUGCUGGCAAUGGGUUUUGGUUAAUGUUGGGUACAUCUGGUGCCUAUACCUCGAUCUUGUUGGUGUCAAUAAGAUCUUGUAUUUCACGCUUCAACUUCCAACACUUCUCGGUAUCAUGUCCGGGAGCCCCCAAACAGUAUUCAGAACUUACCGAGUGGUCCAUAUUUUGGGGUAGGGGAUUUGGAAAUCUGGACUCAAUAGGACUCAACAAACCUAACUACCUUAAUUUGUGGAAUAAAUCUGUAUAGGUUUCUCCUAACUCAGUGAAUGUUCUUUGUCUCUAUAACCCUCUCAUUUCUAAAAGCCUGAUUCCCCCGAAAACCUGGCUCUGCAGGGUUCCUGUAGGCCCUUGGUGGUGGAUAGGUGUUUUGUGGAGGUGGAUAGGUAUUAUGUGGAGGUGGGUAGGUAUUUUGGGGAGCUGGCGCGCGCCAUUGCGGGCGAGCCAGAGGUAGGGUAUAUGUUUGGGCUUGAUAUAUGGAGAAAUGUUGUUCUUGUGGUGGGUAGUAGGGUUGUGGAGGGUAAUUUGGAAUGUGUGGGUAGUUUGGGUGAAGGGGUCUGGAUUGGUAACGAGGGGAAGGACCACUAGAUUUGGACCAGUUGCCUGCCUCUAUUAUCGCGACCUCUUCUCUCUUUUUCUUUCAUUUGUGUGAGGGGGUCUAGAUUGGUAGGGGAAGGACCUCUAGAUGUGGACCGGUUUCCUGCCUCUAUUGUCACGACCUUUUCUGUCUUUUUCUUUCCGAGCGCACCUCCCGUGCCGCUCUGAAUGGCCUGAGUUGUUGCCUUGAUUGCCGAGUAACUCAGGAUUUUAUUGGACAUAAGUCCCUAUUUUAUCGUGCCUCCCAUUUUCACCACUUCAUUAAAGGAUUUGCCAACUGACAUCACCAAGUGACCGAAGUAAUUUGGCUCCAGAGUUUGCAGAAAGUAAUCUACCAUCUCCUAUCUCUCAUUGGAGGAUCAACUCUAGCUGCAUAUUCUCUCCACCAGAACCCAAAUUCCCGAAAGCUCUCCCCGGGAUUAUUCUCAAGCUUUAGCAAUGUGAGACGGUCUGGGACUAUGUCGAGGUUGUAUUGGAAGUGUCCGGCGAAAGCCUGUGCCAGAUCAUCCCAGGUGUACCACCUGCUUGGAUUUUGUCUUGUCUACCACUCCAGGACAGACCCACUCAAACUCUGGCCGAAAUAAGCUAUCAGUAGCUCAUUUUUGCCUCCUGCUCCCCUCAUCUUGCUAUAAAACCCUCGCAAAUGAGCCAUAGGAUCUCCAUGCCCCUCGUAUAAAUCUAACUUGGGUAUCUUGAACCCUGCCGGUAAUUGGACGUCGGGGAAAGGGCAUAGAUCCUUGUAGAGAUCUUGUCUUAUAUACCAUUCUAGUGCCGAUCCGCUCAAACUCUGGCCGAAAUAAGCUAUCACUAGCUCAUCUUUUCCCCUCUGCUCCCCUCAUCUUGCUACAAAAACGCCGUAGAUUGCCAUAGGAUCUCCAUGCCCUUCGGAUAAAUCGAACUUGGGCAUCUUGAACCCCGCCGAUAAUUGUACGUCAGGGAAUGUGCACAAACCCUUGUAGGCCACACUGACCUGGUUUCCUAACCCGUGCAUGUUCCAUAAGGAUUGCUCAAGGCUUUUAAAUUUCCGCAUUACCUCCUGCUCUAGGCUCUUAGCCGGCUUUUCAGUCUCCGCCGGGACCUCAAAGUGGGUGUUAUAGGUAUGUGGCUCGAGUGUUUUAAAUGUUAGUUCAGGGGGUAAUAUUGUGCAUUGUGAGCUUGAAACAAUGACUCACUAGAUAAUCCGUGCAAUGGGGCUGGGGGAGGCGCCACAAAGAUAGUGAUAUUUGGUGGAGGAGGGUUUUGAUUGGGUGGUGGAUCUUGGGGGUUAUAUGCAUCACUUCCCUGAUAGUAGUGAUGGCUCGGGAAGCUCGUUGAGGGACCAGGGAAAGGGUAUUCUGGCGGUGUCCUGGUUGGAGAGUAGGAGUAACGGGUAGUUCAGGCUCAUGUUGUGCUCUUGCCAAGGCUACUUGCAUUUCAUUCAUUUCCAGCCUCAUUUUUUCCAUUUUUCCAUGGCCUCCUUCAACAUUUGACUUGUUUUCUUUUCUUACUCAACACUGUUGUCUGAUCCAGUCAUGCUUUCUGGUAUGGGCCCUUUUGAUCUUGUCUGAUCAUUGUGCGAUGUCAGUAUGCUCUAACAAACUAACUGGUUUAGAUUGAGAAACUAUCAAACUUGUUAGCAUUAGAGUUUCAACAGAUAUCAUAAUUGCACGUUGGAGGAUGCAAUGUUCUUUGGCAGUAGACCAUUUUUAAUAUGCUUUUGCUCAUACCGCAUGCAUCAUCCCGGCUUAUUUUAUUUGUUCCAUUUUCAAGCAUUUCAAAAACCCUCCAUUAUUUUCAUUCUUUUCUCUCUUUGUUUUUCUGUCACUUUCUUAUUCACUAUUUCAUAGCAGUGGUCGAAUCUUAUAUGGAUUGCCUACGUAUCAUGUCCCCGCAUGAAUUAGACCAAGCAUAGUUCGUGACGCAAGUGUAAAAACAAAGACGUCAUUUUGGAUUUUUGAUUUCCAUUUACAAAGCCAAAACAAUUUUGGGAACACACUACAACUUUUGAUGCAAAAAGGAAAAUAUAGAUUUCAACGAACAAUCCGAAUACAGAAAAUACAGACUCAACUAAACAUGCUUCAAAGCUCUAAAAUUUGUCCCCGCGGGGUAUUAUUUGGCCUUGUCGUGGGCUUUGGUGCAACAUUCCUUUGCAGGCUUUUCAACUCUUUCAUAAUUUGGUGGACAUAACCCAUGACUGAAGCGAAAAGGGUAUCACGGGGCAUAAUCUCACAUGCCAGGAACCUCAUGGUUAUGUAGUGCCCAAUCUCAUGAAUCCUACCUCGGAUGUAAUCCCUUUCUCUGAACAGUUGCUCUAUUCACCGAUUCUUUAGUCUAGUACUUGAGCGUUGUCGGCGAGUUGAUCCUAGAACCUUUCCAUUUGUUCUUCCAUUCUGGCCAUUGAAUCAUAACAAUGCUUCCUGUCCAUUCUGUCAUCUUGGGCUUGUCUAAGGACCUGCUCUUUGAGAGUGGAAUUUGUUUCUCUUGAUAUAGCAAUGGUCCCUUCAUCCCUCCUUAUUUGCCGCAUAUGCUUUGCUCGUGCUUCCGCACCUCUCGCCCAUCUAGCUUGGAUUCUCAUCAUGCCAGCCUCCGAUCUUUUCAAAUCCUCUUGGCCUUCACUGAUCCGCUUGUUCAACCCGUCUAUCAACCUCUUGUCAGACCGACUUCUUUGUUGGUUGUUGGCAUUCUUUCUGACUCGUUGGAUUUGAGCCCUAAGAGUGUUGUUUUCUUGGGCUAAUUUGUUUUGGUCUCCUUCAUCGGCUGCGGCUUGCAAACUACUUUCAUACUCCAGAUACUGAACCUGCUUUUCCAAUUCCCCUAUGCGGGCCUUACCAAGUCUAUGGUUCCUGCAAUGCUUCAACGAACCCUUGAAUGUGAGGCUUUUUGAUUGGCUGUUCUGGUGCUUUCUUCGUAGCUCCCUUACUUCCGUACCAAACGAGAUAAAUGGGUGAGACUUCGCCCUUGGAUAGGUCGUGCACUCGAGUAUUCACCGUCAAAUACUGGUAUUCAUUCCAUAUGGAACAAACGGGGUUUUCAUGAAAUUGGCCAUUGGCGCUAACCUCGACUGCAUAUAUGCUUAGAUCUUCAUCAAGGUGUACCACCUGACAUCUCUCCAACUGUCUCAUCACCCGAUAGGGUGCUUAUGGCUGAAUGCCUCAGAGCCCCAUCAAAAGGAAGCAAGGGCCUUUGGCGGGCAUGUGCAUAACUUCUUCGACCGAUAACUAACCUAACGUCCAUCCUAUUUGUGCAGCGGUGAUGGCACUGAGAUGAGAUACCCAUUCUGAGACCCUUCUGGCAACCUGAUCCCUGCGACCCUCUUGUCGUAUUCUUCGAUGCAGCUUUUCUCUAUCAACAUAUAGCUCAGACGCUGAGAUUGAUGAAACAAGUUCUCGGUCAUCCACAUCUGUAAUAACAAAUUGCAGGCCUCAAAGAAAUCUGCCCCGACUUUACAAGCUAUAAGGGCUCGGUAGAUCUCAGACAAUAUCAUGGGGGAAGUAUGCUUUUGUCGUUGGUAAUUAAGACUUUGACCACCCCAGCUAUCUUUAAAUCAAUGUUACUGUUCUUCGUGGGGAACACCACAAUGCCCAGGAAUGCUACCAUGAAAGCGAAUCGCCUAUGUUCAUCCCAUUUUAUCUGAUUUACUUUGCUGCAGACCCCGCUAUCUGGAUCGUCGAAUCCCGAUAUGUGCCCAUAUCUCUGGUAUAUGAAUUUUAGAGUAGAAAAACCUUCAUCCAACUCAGAGUAGGGGACCCCCUUGCUUAUCUCCAAUACAUCCAUGAUUGACGGCUCUUAGAGCAAUCAGAUAUUUAUCUCUCAGGCUUUCAGUGAUGCCCAUGUUCCCUGCUAUCUCCUCUAAAGUAGGAGUGAGUUCGAAAUCCGAGAAAUGGAACACAUUGUGGGCUGGAUCCCAAAAUGCGGUCAAGGCUUUUAUGAUGUCUCUUCUAGGACUGAUACUGAACAAAUCAACGAGACCCCCCAGGUGAAGUAUGAUCUUAUCUUGCUCUGAUUUUUCAAAAUCUUCCCACCAUAAGCGCAAUUCCAGAGGGAUCUUGCUCCUGACCUUUAACGGAAAACUUGGACCCAUGUUCAUUCUGCACAUUUGAUGAGGUGACUUUAAGCAAAAAGCACAAUUUACUGGACUCAAAUAGAACUAACUAUUUAUCAAAAAUUUAAACAAAAAUAAAAACUCGAUUUUGAACAUGGCCUUUCAGCACCUCAGGGCGAAGAAUUUUCAAGGCUGUGUCGACCAAAAUGACAGAAGGCGGCUGUUUAUAUUAAGUCAGCCUUCCGGCAUCCCUUUCGGGAACAUUCAGCUAUUUUGGUAAAACAGUGUCACCUGGCGUAUUUAAAACUAUUUUCCAAAAUAUAAUCCGCCAUUGCGGUCACGACUUUUCAGAGCCUCGAGGACGAGGAUUUAAGUUUGUGUGGGCUAAUUUGGUCAAAAAUCCAAAAAUGGCCAAAAGUGGUCGUUUGUGCAAAAUUAGCCUUUCGGCGUCCCAUAAGGGAACAUUCGGCUAUAUUUGAGAAAACAACCUAGCCCGAUUCUUCUAAAAUUUGACAUUUUGGUUAUAUUUUGUAAAAGGGGCAGUUGGACCAUAUGGGGGUUGCCUACGUAUCUCACGCCCUGUGAGAAUCAAACCGACGUAGUUCGGGCAAAAAGGGGAAAACAAAGCUAGAUUUAAAAGAACAAAAUUCCCUUCUUUUUUCAAAACACUCUUUUUUUUAUUUUUUCCAAAAUUUGACAGAGUUUCGACACUACUUGGUUUUUGAAAAAUUAGUAGUUAUCUUUACACUGCUAUUUCUCUCUCUUGCACUAUUCUUCUAAUAUUCCCAAUUUCGCAAGCCGGUCAACAUGCGAGUCUGAACAAAUAGAUACAUAAAUCAAACAAGAUGCAACAUGAUGGUAUUUCGUUUCAGGUUGUUAUUCCUAGACGGGCCCAACCCCUGUGUUGAGCCCCCUAAGUCAAAUGCAACAUGAUGCAAAACAGGCGUUUCCUACUAGGGAUCCGGCAUGAAGAUAUGUUAUACUAAGCUUCAACCUGGGUUAUUGUUCUAGGCCUGGCUUUUUACCCGAGCGGACAACUCGAGCCGAGGAUGGGAACUGCGUGCCGGUAACCAAAAGAUCCUCCGGUUUAGCAAUCCCACCGAAUCCUCGUACUAAAUUGGGAUUAUGACACUAACAGAAAGAAGUCACGACCAUCGUGCACUCCUUAAGAGAGAGAAGCGAAGGGUUUCGACACAGUUUAUAUAUACAGUCCACAUAUAUCAAAGCUGUAAACAAUCAUCAUUUUGCAUAUUAAGCACAUAUCAGAUGGAAAUAUCAGAUAAUAAAAAUAAAGCAAAAAAUACAACAAUCUCUGAGCUCAAAUUCAAACCCUGAACCAGUGGUUCUUGGUAUACGUCCCCAGCGGAGUCGCCAGAGCUAUCACACCUCCUUUUUUCGCACCCCGCGAGGGGGCAAAGGAGUUUUCCAAUUAAAGGACAAUCAAAACAGGAUUUAUUUAUUUAAUUCAGAGUCGCCACUUGGGAGAUUUAUGGUGUCCCAAGUCAUUGGUUGAAUCCCGAAUAAAGGAAAAGAUUGACUCUGUUUAACAGUCCGCGAACCAGAAAUCUGGAUAAGGAAUACUGUUAACCUGGGAGAAGGUGUUAGGCAUUCUCGAGUUAAGUGGUUUUAGCACGGUCGCUCAACUGUUAUAUUCGACUUUUUUAUCUGAUAAACAUGUUGUAACUUAUGUGCAAAUUCUAACUUUUAGCCGCUUUUAUCAUUAUUAUUAUUAUUAUUAUUUUACAGAGAAUGCAAUGUCGUGAAAACGUAUCUCGAACCACGUUACAACUAGUGUACACGUGGUCGUCGGCACAUUUCGACUCCGUCGAGAUUUGGAUUUGGGUUACAUAAAUGUACACCCGAGAUUAGAAAGGUAAGAUUAAUUAAGGUGCGUCCUAAAGAGACUAACGUGUCGUUAUUUGGGAAAAGGCAGCGAAAAUUCGCUAAGCGAACAACUCCGAAAUCUAUCCAAUUGUUAUAUGUAUUUAUUGAGGGCCUCACAAUUUGUAAUUUACUGUGCCGAGGCACGCCUCAUUUAUUUUAAGGAUAGCCUAAAGUGACUACAUUUACUAUUUUUUGUUACGUCUCUAAAGGAAGAAAACAAAAUCCGAAAUUAAUUAGAUGCUUUUAACUUUAUUACGCGCAAGUGUACAUCGCGGUAUAUUAAUUCUGAAAAUGAGAGGGGUAAGGGGGCAGUUCGUUUGCCCCUCUAGGCCUAGGCCCAACGAUGGCACAAAAGGAGGCCCAGGCCAAACACAUUCUGAUUUGUGAACCUCUACUUCAUACUAAUUGUUUGAAAUUUACAAAAGGAAGUCAAUGGAUGAUAAAGCUUGUUCUUUAGGAAUCUAAAUAAUACGUUAUUAACUAAGAGAAUUUAAACUACUGAUUAAUUAAUCUAAAGCCUGGUGCACAUUUGAAUAUGCUAUAAAUGAAACGAAACUAGAAAUGGUAGAAUAUGCAUAUUACAUUAUCGGUUCCUUUCUAACUACCAUACAUGAGCUUGCAAACUUAAAUUAUUAGAUCGAUGCUUAUUGAUACAUUGCAGGUAGGCACAUGAUUCGAAUGAGCUAAUAACUAACAUAUACGCAUACAACUUAGAAUAUAGAUUACAACUAAAUGGCUUCAAGCCUUAAGGCUGCAUUUUUAUUCAUGCUUCAAGUGUUCCAGCUUACAUUGUAUACCAGGAUAGUAAUUGUGUACCUGGUGAUUGGGAAAUAAAAAGAGGAGGAAGGAUCAGUAGUGAAGCGCAGUAACAAACACAUCAACAGACUUGGUACAACAACACCAGUGAAACUAAACAGCAGAAACCUAGGAAAGAUUCAAAAUCAAACAGGGGCAAAUAGCAAUAGCAAUUCCGAAAAAUCCAAACAACAACAACCAAAAUGAAUACCACAAAACCAAUAGAGGUGAACCAGUGCUCAAACUCAAAAGAGAUGAUCGAGUAGCAGAUGGAUAAUCAGUAACACACUCAAGAAUAACCACUAGCAACUUCAAGGGGGCUAAAUAACAAUACCAAAUGAACUCUAGUAGUACUAGAUGCACUUAAAACCAAAAGAGGAGGACUAGUUACAAGAGAAGCAACGCUUCUGAUUUUGAACACUCAAGAAUUCAGCCUAUACUCUCUAUUUUUCAACUUAGCUCUUUAGGUGUUAAAAGCCAGCCUUACCUCUGGAAUUAACUCUCCAAAUUCCAGCUUCUCUUUUUUACUCUCCCAAAAAUUCUCCUCAAUCUUUUUUCUCUUCUUUGUUCUAAAAAUCUGAUCUUCUCCCAAAAAUUUCUUUUUCUCCUAAGUGUCAAAUGAUCCCUAUUUAUAUCUAAAACAAGACUCUCUUCCCCUCCCUUUUAAUUAUUACUACUACCCUCUUUUUAUUAUUACCCUUCCAAUUAGCCUCCCCUUUUUUUUAAUUUUCAGCCCCCCAAAUAUUCUCUUCUAUGUCUAUCUUUUAACCUUUUAUCAUUAUUUGCACUAUUCCUACUUCUAAUUAAGCAAACACUCUCAUUACUUAGUGGUCCCUUUCUACCAAUUAGUUCAAAUUAAAAUUGUUAGGGGCCUACAAGAUAAACCAAUUCAGUCAAACCAAUUCCCAUUUUUUAACUUCCCAAAUUACCCCCGAAACCCCUUAAUUAUUAUUGCAUUACCCUAAGCUUUACAAAUCUAAAGUUACAUAUAUGUAAGUUCAACCCUGAAACUAAUUUCUGUUAAAACACCUAAAUCACUACAGCUAUAUCCAAUCUUCCUGACAAUUAAAUGACUAAGGUGAAAUCAUUUAAACAAAAUAAAUGAAUUUAAAUCGAAAACCAAACUUAAUGCAUCAUAGAACUCAACAGAACCAUUAAACUGAAACUGAAUCUAAAUCAAAAUCACAUGAAUACAUGGAUUAAAUUUUAACAUAAUUCUAAAUCGAAUCCUAUACAAGAAGGCAUGAUCAUUGUUAGUAUUGACAAUUCCCCGAAGCUUAACUUCCUAAAAUCAGUACAUACAACAUUCGAUCCAAAAUUAUUUGACGACAUUCAUGCAGUCAAUUAUACAAACUAUAACAGGUAUUAGUUAACAACAAACAAACCGAAACAGAAAUAAAAGAACGAGGUGACCCGUCAAAAAACAAUGAAUUUAUGGAAAUUAAUUAAUCGACGAAUCUAUUUAGACGAUUGCAUAUAACAAUUGACAAGAAACAAUCAGAAACAGGUAAUCAGACAAAUUCAAAUGGUUUUUCUUUUUUAACAGAGACUGAGAGUUAUAAUAUAAUUCAACUAAUCAACGAUAUUAGUCGAAUCGACUAUAUACUCUAUAAUACACACUCAACGAAUAGAAACAAUUUGACCAAAUAAAAGGUCAUUUGAGAUGAGAAGAAUUAACUGAAAGAAAUAAAAAAAUCAAAUAAACCAAAACUAAAACAACAAAUGGAUCCUACUAUCAGAGAAGAGUAAAGAAAUGGAAAAAUUACCUCAGGGACUCGAAAUCAGAUGGACCCAGUAUCAAGCUCAGACUCAACCAUUUUGAGGUAGAACGGACCUUAGUUUAAGUGUUUUCGACUGAGAACACUUCGACUAAUGUCGAUUAGACCCCAAAUACCCUUUAAUUUUGGACGAAGCCCGUGUUUUGGUUUUCUAGGGUUCUAUGGCUCGAUUUGUGAUUCGAGUGGUUCCAAGGUGAUUCGAAAGGGAACCAGUGGCGGUUCAGGGGUGAUGGUGGCCUGGGGUGGCUAGUGUGAGUUUGGGCUGGUUUAGGCCAUGUAUAGGUUUUGCUCGAAUCUUCAGUUGAAGAUUCGAGAAGCUGUGGGGUGAUUCGAGGUCAAAGGUUAGUGGAUUCGAGUUGAGGUAGGUGAGGAGGUUAAGGGGUGUUAGUAUGGUGGUGGUCGGAGACAGGGCCGCCAGGUUUACAGCGAAGGGAUAUGGUGGCGGCUAGGGUAAACCCUCGUUCAUCUCUAUAUGAGGGAGACAAAGAAUAGUGAAAGAGAAGGGGCGUUUGGUUU
rnacentral:lncRNA from 1 species